GUGUGUGGCUUCUAUGUAUGUAGGUGUUGAGUGUGUGGCGUCUGUGUAUGUAGGUAAUGGGUGUAAGGCUUCUGUGUAUGUAGGUGUUGAGUGUGUGGCUUCUGUGUAUGUAGGUAAUGAGUGUGUGGCUUCUGUGUAUGUAGGUGUUGAGUGUGUGGCUUCUGUGUAUGUAGGUGUUGAGUGUGUGGCUUCUGUGUAUGUAGGUGUUGAGUGUGUGGCUUCUGUGUAUGUAGGUGUUGAGUGUGUGACUUCUGUGUAUGUAGGUGUUGAAUGCAUGGCUUCUGUGUAUGUAGGUGUUGAAUGCAUGGCUUCUGUGUAUGUAGGUUUUGAAUGCAUGGCUUCUGUGUAUGUAGGUGUUGAAUACAUGGCUUCUGUGUAUGUAGGUUUUGAAUACAUGGCUUCUGUGUAUGUAGGUUUUGAAUACAUGGCUUCUGUGUAUGUAGGUGUUGAAUACAUGGCUUCUGUGUAUGUAGGUGUUGAAUGCAUGGCUUCUGUGUAUGUAGGUGUUGAAUGCACGGCUUCUGCGUAUGUAGGUAUUGAAUGCAUGGCUUCUGUAUAUGUAGGUGUUGAAUGCACGGCUUCUGUGUAUGUAGGUGUUGAAUACAUGGCUUCUGUGUAUGUAGAUGUUGAAUACAUGGCUUCUGUGUAUGUAGGUGUUGAAUACAUGGCUUCUGUGUAUGUAGGU